UGAGUUUGAUCAUGGCUCAGGACGAACGCUGGCGGCGUGCCUAACACAUGCAAGUCGAACGAGGUAUAUUUUUCGGAAUAUACUAAGUGGCGGACGGGUGAGUAACGCGUGAACAAUCUGCCCUGUACAAAGGAAUAGCCUCGGGAAACCGGGAUUAAAACCGUAUAACACUUUAGUAUCGCAUGAUACAGAAGUCAAAUAUUUAUAGGUAUGGGAUGAGUUCGCGUCUGAUUAGCUAGUUGGUAAGGUAAUGGCUUACCAAGGCGACGAUCAGUAGCCGGCCUGAGAGGGUGAACGGCCACACUGGAACUGAGACACGGUCCAGACUCCUACGGGAGGCAGCAGUGGGGAAUAUUGCACAAUGGAGGAAACUCUGAUGCAGCGACGCCGCGUGAGUGAAGAAGGUCUUCGGAUCGUAAAACUCUGUCCUUGGUGAAGAUAAUGACGGUAGCCAAGGAGGAAGCCCCGGCUAACUACGUGCCAGCAGCCGCGGUAAUACGUAGGGGGCGAGCGUUGUCCGGAUUUACUGGGUGUAAAGGG
rnacentral:rRNA from 1 species